UACGGGAGGCAGCAGUGGGGAAUAUUGCACAAUGGGCGCAAGCCUGAUGCAGCCAUGCCGCGUGUAUGAAGAAGGCCUUCGGGUUGUAAAGUACUUUCAGUCGUGAGGAAGGUGUUAAGGUUAAUAACCUUAGCAAUUGACGUUAGCGACAGAAGAAGCACCGGCUAACUCCGUGCCAGCAGCCGCGGUAAUACGGAGGGUGCGAGCGUUAAUCGGAAUUACUGGGCGUAAAGGGCACGCAGGCGGUUAAUUAAGUUGGAUGUGAAAUCCCCGGGCUUAACCUGGGAAUGGCAUUCAAGACUGGUUAGCUAGAGUCUUGUAGAGGGGGUAGAAUUCCAUGUGUAGCGGUGAAAUGCGUAGAGAUGUGGAGGAAUACCGGGUGGCGAAGGCGGGCCCCUGGGACAAAGGACUGACGCUCAUGUGCGAAAGCGUGGGGAGCGAAACAGGAUUAGAU
rnacentral:rRNA from 1 species